rnacentral:rRNA from 1 species
AUUGAACGCUGGCGGCAGGCCUAACACAUGCAAGUCGAACGAGUGGCGGACGGGUGAGUAAUGUCUGGGAAACUGCCUGAUGGAGGGGGAUAACUACUGGAAACGGUAGCUAAUACCGCAUACCAUCAGAUGUGCCCAGAUGGGAUUAUCUUGUUGGUGGGGUAACGGCUCACCCAGGCGACGAUCCCUAGCUGUUCUGAGAGGAUGACCCACCAUGCGUGUACGGCGACACGGUCAAGACUCCUACGGGAGGCAGCAGUGAGGAAUAUUGCACAAUUGGCGCAAGCCUGAUGCAGCCACGCCGCGUGUAUGAAGAAUGCCUUCGGGUUGUACAGUACUUUCAGCGGGGAGGCGUUACCCGCAGAAGAAGCACCGGCUAACGCCGUGCCAGCCGCGGUAAUAC